AAGACAGCAUUGUCAUAAUUUGUGUGAAUUGUAGUUUGGAAAAUAGACCCACGGAGUCUGCACUGUCCUGACAUGAGCAUGUGUUUAAUUGCAAGGAAUUUGAACAUAUUCAAAGCACAAACCUGGAACAAGAAAAAGUUGAAUCAAGUGAUGUGGGUCUAUCCAUGAAGCACUCUAUAACAGACUUAAAAAGCAGUUCAUGUUUUUUCCUGAAAGAACCAAAAACCAGUGGAAACUAAACUAGCAUGCUGAUUACGAUGGCCUUGAUCAAGCAAAUAAUGAAUGAGUUAGGCGUCAUUGUAUUUACGAUAGAGAGAAUUCUUAACGAGGACAACAAAGGUUGGCUAUCAUUUUCCAAAUCGAACAUUUUGCACAAUUUCCAAUGGUUCUUAACAAAGAUUCAAUGAUAUGACAACUGAAGAAAUAUUUCUUACCUCUGCUAAAAAGUGUAUUAGCGGCAAUCAUUAGUUCAUUUAAUAAUCAAUUGGUACAGUUUGGCAUCCUAGAGCGUAUCUCGAGGUUUUUUCGGUUGUUUGACCACACCUAGACGAAGCAGAGGGCGCCUCCAUCGCUCCAUACAAAGGACCAUCAACACAGAAAAUAUAUAAGUGUUAUUUGGCUAUUAAUAUGAUUAUUUUGAGACUUAUUCAAAGCCAGUUUUGGUCUUCUGUGCUUCAGGCCUCAACAUCUCUUACUUUAAGAUAAAUUGCAAAUAAAUGCCAACUGCACGUAGGGGUUACUAUGAAUUAAUUCCAUAUCAUCAAUAAAAAUUAGAAUUCCUAACCGGUUAGCCUAUUACUGAUCUUGUUAAAGAGUAACACGAAUAUCGUCCAUUACAACAUAAUCCAGCUUCAGUGAAAUCGAAGAAGGGACAAAUAGGAUUCAAACAUCAAUUUAUCACCAAAUGUGCGCACAGCCACUUUGCAAUAACUCAUUAACAUAUUAAAUACAUUUUUGAUCUCACGCACCCAGAUGAGUUUUUUGGUUACCUUAUGUGGUACUUUAUUGGCUCAAACUAAUAUAUUAGGUCACUUAAAGCUCAUUGAAAAUGACUAUUUUAGAGACAAAAUGGUAUGAAUGUUCUUAAUAUACCUUGUUUGGCAUUUUGCUGCAAUCUUAUUAAAAUCAAUGCCAUUUUAAAGAAGCCCUUUCGAUCAAUUUUGCUCCAAGGUUCUAAUCACGCUUUGAAAAGGAAAACCAAACUACUUAACAAUGUGAAGCAACGAUCUUGAACAAACAGUAACAUAAUAAGAUUGACAUCAGGCUAAAUACGUCUUGUCAUCCGAUGUCCACUCUUUUAACAGUUGUUCUUGCUACUAAAACGUCAGCCGUCAGUUUUUUUGCCACUUACUUAACCGCCGGAGAGGUUUUAAGGAGCAAUUUUCUGCUUACGUACCAUCAAAUUGCCUCAAAAUUACCAUCAUUUCCUAUUCCUCCGUCAACGAGACAACACCCAGCCCCAAGUUUCGGAGCUUCCAAAUUCGUCCAAUAUAAUUUCAAGCUUCCUGCCAUUCCUUACAAGUCACUUGCCGGUACAACAUCUCCUCUUCAAAAAUGUUGACAAUCAUGGCAACAAAGACGCAAAUUUUGCUCUUUUCUCUUGUGGUAAUGAAUUAUCUUUCAGUUGAUGGUGCAGAUAAUUCCACUCAGAGGGUUGGAAAAGCAUUGAGCGUUUUCAACAUCAUUCGGCAAGUGACUAAUUUUAGAUGUCGUUUCGUUUAAGAAUCCUUAACACGUUACUUUUAAGUUAGAUUACGAGUUUUUGGUAUUUGUUUGUUACAUUGAAUGGGGAUAUUUAUACAAGCUCUAAAAAGCCAUUUAAUUUGUAAGUAUCUGGUGUGAAUUUGUAUUGCAUCCACAUGCGCAUAUGCAGCUGUCCUGCUCUGUCUUUCUCCAUUGCUCUCUCUCUCUCUAUGUCUCUGCCUUUCUCAAGUUUGACAAGUCAAUAUUGUUUAUUGAAUAUAAAAUUGACUUAUUAUCCGUAAAUAUCGGGGUAUGUGGAAAUUUCGUUUUCAUGACCUCAGUGGCUAACCAGAACUUGCGAUAAAGGCUAGUGUAUCGAAUACCAUGGCCAAGGACAGCAGGGCCACAACCACGACCUCUUCCACGGCGGCCUUAGAAAAGUUGGUACAGACUUUCACCAACAACCUCAAAUCAAACAAGAAAAACGGUUUCCAUCCAGACCCUGUGAACAGCUUCCUGGCUGUGUGUUGUGCAUAUCAAUAUCUUAUUAUGUUUGCCACUUUCCUCCAUGUUGUUGAAACCUGUUGUGCAGCAUUGCAGAAGUUUGCGAUUGGCUCCCACUUACUGACCCACCUUCAAUUAUUAUUGGAUUGUUCGUUAACACACUUAGCUCAUUCCAUUUCAUCCAGCCAUUUCAAAGAAUGUGGCGCCACCUUGGCGUGUUCAACAUUGCUAUCCAAUUUGUCUUACACAAUGGCUUCCCACAUUUCACUUUUCGCCUUCACAUUAGACAGGGAUGGAGCCUAAUAAACGCAUAAAUAAAAAGCAUAACAGCUCUCAUUGAAGGUCAAAUCGGUCACGGCCGCAACCAAUCUUGAGAAAGCAAUUCCUCAUACGUAAUCUUCUCCAAUUCAGCCAAACUACCAAUGAUCUUCAAUCAGCCAAAAAAGGUCACAAAAUAAUUAACCUAAAUGUUGUUUCAGCAUGUUGAAGUCUAUAUACAUGAGUUUGGUUUCAGGCUGAAGUAAAAAGUAAAUUGAUGCAUUUUUUCCUAAUUUGCCGUACAUCAGAUUUGAAACAUCCUUUUAAGAAAAUAUACCAAACUAAAUCAGCAAAUACCAAGCAAAAUUUAGAUAUGAAUCACAUUGUAAUUUGAAAUUGUGAAUGAACCAGAGAAUUGAUGAAAAAACAAGUUAAGAGAUAAUAUCCGUCAAUUAUAACGAAAAAACGCUUCAAGUGUUGUAAGAAAGUAAGAACAAAAGGUACAAAAUAGUUCAUAAACAACCCAACAAUUAUUGGUCUUCAUUUCGAAAUCAAUUCUCAGUAGCGGUUACCAAGCAAGAAAAAAAUUCAAGUUCUGGAAAAACUAUUUGCCAAAAUAUAUAGUAUAUGUUAUGAAAAUUUACACCGUUGCUUAUUCAUAUAUAUUUUUUAAUGUAUCUCCCUCAUGUUUUAGAUUCACCAAUGACCCUUGUGCAGGAACAGGCAACAGAAAUGGCACUUGCUA